UGUUCUUUCCAGAGUGGUGUCUAGUCUUGAAUGACGCAGAAGUUUUUUGUGCUCUUACAAUAAUGUGAUUUCCGUUGAUCGAUUAAGUGCUGUUUUUGAUUUUCUCGUCUAAUGGCUUUAUUCUUACGUGAACUUUCAAAUAGUUGAUAGGAGAUCCAUCUGACGGUGCUCGAAUGCAGUGCGUCCAGACUCCAGCCGUCCACUAGAUUUCUUGAUGGGCAAGAAUGCACUGCUUUUCACUUACGGAGCCAACAGUGCAGGCAAAACCUACACUAUGCUGCUGGGCAAUGUCGAAGAUGCAGGUUUAAUUCCUCGUUCUUUGGAUGUUGUAUUCAACAGCCUGAAAGAUAGACUACUUAAGAAUCCUGCCCUAAAGCCACUCGUUCUUAAUGAAGUCAUGAAACUGAAUCAUAACCAAAUUGAAGCAGAAGAGUUGGAGAGGGCAAUUUUGAUGAAUGGAUUUCAUUUCAACUCUAAAACUAAGGACAGCAUUUCCUCGGUUCCUUUUGGAUCAUUGGAUGAUUGGAAUAUUCAAGCUUGAGAAGAGACAGUUUGCCCUCUUCAACACCCUCAAGAUUAUUUUUCAGUUUGGGUAUCGUACUGCAAAAUUUAUAAUGAACAAGCCUUUGAUCUACUGGAUGGAUGUGACAAAAAGAAGAAAUGAGUAGCCUUGCGUAUUACUGAUGAUUGCAAGAAGAAAUUCUUUGGUAAAGAGAUUUGCGUCCCUUCUGCUGAUGAAGCUGUCCGAGUUUUGCUUUUUGGAAAAGAGAACUUACACUUUGCUGCUACCAAGUUGAACUACAAUUCCAGUCGAUCUCAUUGCAUCUUUACGGUUAAGUUAUUUCGAACAAACCAUUGCGACGAGCCAAGUGAAGCUGCCAUCCACAUGAUGUCCUUUGUCGAUCUUGCUGGAAUGGAACGAACAACAAAGACUCAAAGUAAAGGUGAACGGCUAAAAGUAGCCGGAAACAACAAUACUUCACUCUUCAUACUUGGUCGUAGCAUCGACGCUAUGAGAAGUAAUCAACAAAACUCCAGUAAUAAAACAACAAUGAUUCCGUAUCGAGAGUCUAAAUUGACGCGAAUCCUGCAACACUUUUUUCUGGUCAGGGUAGAGCCGCCAUGUUUGUGAAUGUCAGUCCCUCUGCAAAUUUGUUUGACGAAACUCUUCGUGUUCUAGAAUUUGGCGCCUUAGCUCAAGAAAUAAUCAUUCAGCCGGAUCGUGACGCUUCAGUUGCUGAUAUAUCCAGUAGCCAAUUCGCUCCACCUUUGCGUCCAUCAAAGUUCCAACAGUACGUUCGCAAAUCAAUCAGUAUUUUAAGUGCCAGGGCGUCAGUGCUAGAGACGUCGACGUUCCAGGCCAUUGGCGAAGAAGAUGGCCCUCAUAAACGCAUUCAAAAAUUAGAAGAAGAAAAUGCUCGGCUUAAAGCUGGCUGGAAAGAAAACGAACGGAAG